rnacentral:rRNA from 1 species
UACGAAGGGUGCAAGCGUUACUCGGAAUUACUGGGCGUAAAGGGUGCGUAGGUGGUUUGUUAAGUCUGCUGUGAAAUCCCCGGGCUCAACCUGGGAAUGGCAGUGGAUACUGGCAAGCUAGAGUGCGGUAGAGGGUAGUGGAAUUCCCGGUGUAGCAGUGAAAUGCGUAGAUAUCUGGAAGAACACCAAAGGCGAAGGCAGUGUCCUGGGUGGUCGCUGACGCUGAGAGGCGAAAGCCAGGGGAGCGAACGGG